AGUGAACGCUGGCGGUAGGCCUAACACAUGCAAGUCGAACGGCAGCACCGUAAGAGCUUGCUCUUACGGGUGGCGAGUGGCGGACGGGUGAGGAAUACCUCGGGAUCUACUUUUUCGUGGGGGAUAACGUAGGGAAACUUACGCUAAUACCGCAUACGACCUACUGGUGAAAGCAGGGGAUCUUCGGACCUUUCGCGAUUGAAUGAGCCGAUGGCGGAUUAGCUCGUUGGCGGGGUAAAGGCCCACCAAGGCGACGAUCCGUAGCUGGUCUGAGAGGAUGAUCAGCCACACUGGAACUGAGACAGGGUCCAGACUCCUACGGGAGGAAGCAGUGGGGAAUAUUGGACAAUGGGCGCAAGCCUGAUCCAGCCAUAGCGCGUGGGUGAAGAAGGCCUUCGGGUUGUAAAGCCCUUUUGUUGGGAAAGAAAAGCAGCAGGUUAAUACCCCGCUGUUCUGACGGUACCCAAAGAAUAAGCACCGGCUAACUUCGUG
rnacentral:rRNA from 1 species